UCUUACUGGAUGACUUUGUGAGAGGGUGAUCAAUGUUUUGAAGCUUCUUUUCAGCUUUGUGAGCAUUGGAGUUUGAGAAAGACGUGUUGUAGUAUUCAGUUUGGCAAAACUUCCACUGGAGUCUGUGCAUGACUGGGCGGACUCUGCAUCUUUAUGGAUCUUUCUGUUUUUCCGAACAAACAUGUCUCGAUAGCAGUAUACUGCCACACCUGCAAUGAAUGCCCCCAAAACAAAAGCAGCAAAGACACAGGUGAUGAGGACAUUCAUGUGGACCAUCUGGUUGGACUCUCCAGACUGGACUUCCCAUCGUACACCUGAAAUAGACA
rnacentral:lncRNA from 1 species